AGGUGUCUUGUCUUGGGGAGCAGAAAUGUCCAAUGAACGUAUAGUGGGGGCUUUGCUGCCGACACCAAUUACAUUAAUUCCCGUCUGUCACACCACUCACUUGAGUAUACCACUCGGAAUUUUUGGCCAA